AGGAAAGGAGCCCUGACUCCUCCCCCUGCGUCCCCCUCCCCCCACUUGUCCGAGCGCGGACCGGAUUCCCAGUCUUUGGCCGGAGCGGUCAUCAGGAGAUGUACCUGGUAAUGACCGUGUGCUCGGAGCGUGCUCGUGUCCCCAGGGCCGCAUUUCCACGCACAAGGGGGCAGAAGAGGGUCGCUUUGCGGGAGUGAAUGGCCUCCCCAGAAGGUACUGACUCAGUACCCAGAAAUCCAGUCCCACUGAGUGCGGGCAUUCCCUGCAUGUGUUCCACGCAAACAAGGGACGCCUUGGGUCUCCCAGCCUCCUUGCCAGGGUGUUUGAUAAAGUUGAUUGAAAUCUUGAAGUUCAGGAAGUUUUGACUCCUUUCCCUUUGCAGAAAGAGAGGAGAAAUACAUGCACGUUUGACCAGCCCCAACAUCUAUGCCAGGGAGUACCUUGAUGAGGAUACUGCGAUUCAGCAAAGUUGCCUGACUUAGCGAAGGCCGCACAGCUGCUGAGGGAGCCACAUCUGCCUGGCUGCAGGUCCCUGCGUGUGACCGACCGGUCGCCUGCUGCAGAGGGCACGGAGACGGGUGCUACCCUCGGGCACCAGGCAUCGGAUGGAGCAGUCUUCUGGGUUUGCAUUCCAGCUCUGCCAUUGGCUGGCUGAGUAACCUUAGUGCCUGGGCUUCAGCUCACUCAUCUGUAAACCCGUCCUGAGAAGUAGAACCGAUCUGGUAGGAUUGUUAUGUGGAUGGAAUAAAGUAGGCAAAGCCCCUAAAAGAGUGCAUAGCAGCACAUGCCAACAAUAGGGCCAGCUGGGCCUUGGAGAGUGGACCUGCAGCUCUCUGCACACAGAAUGUGCCCAAGAGAGCUGCCUAGAGAAGCUCCAUGAUGCAGCAGGCAGACAGCCCCCCCCCCCCCCAGAACCCAGCUGUGUUCAUCUUAUAACUGGAGGACAGGCAUCUAUCACCUGCCUCGUGUAAGUGGCCCUUGGAGAAGACCAGCAGAAGAAUCUCCAAGAUAAUCCCCAAAAGUACCCCCUGAGUGGAAGAAUCAGCCUUGAGUGCAAUGGAGCCAGAGAGCAGAGCAGCGCAUCACCACGGCACCAAGUGAAGCUGGAUAUACGGCUGCCCAGAAUAAAGACUUCCUUUCCCAGCCUCCCCUGAUAGCUCAGCACGGCCAUCCCCCUGCGUUCUUGCCUGUGGCCUGUAAACAGAAGUGUCCUUAAGGGAGAUGGCAUGUCCUCCUUGCUCUUCCUCCGUCCUGUUGGCUGGAAUAGGGAUGUGACGGCUGGCGCCGGAGCAGCCAUAUUGGACCAUGAGAAGAGACCCAUGUACUGAGGACAGCGGAACGAAACAAGAGAAGGGCCUUUAGUCCCUGACACCCAGGAGUGCUGUGCUAGCCGAAACUGUGGCUUUCGGGUUCUUACCUGUGUUUCUGCCCCACUUGGCUGAAGGUAAUCUUCAUUACACGCCCCCAUUAGUUAUCUCUUGCUACAGGACAAAUCGCCUCAAAAUCUAGUGACUCAGAGUGCAAACACUCAUGAUCCCUUGCCACUUGCAUGGCGAGGGAGUGCAGGAGCCGCGUGGCUGGGCUCCUGGCCAGGACUGCAAGCAUCUGAGACUGCUGAGGACAGCUCAGCUGGUAAAGGCAGCUGGCCCUCGUGACCUCCCAGCAGGGACCUCAUCCUGGGCUGCUGGAAGGUUCUCAGGAGAUGGCUGCUGGCACCCCUGCCCUACCCCCUGGCCACCAAAACAAGUGAGCUUGAGAAUAAAGCCGAGUGAGGGAUAUCUUUUAUGACCUAGCCAUCAAAGCCACCCACUGUCACUUCUGCAAUAUAUUAUUGGUCACAGAUGCCCAUUCAGCGUGGAAAUACACAGAGGUGUGAGGGCAGGUAGACAAGGCUCAUUGGAGGCUCCCACACCCCACGUCUUCCCUGACGGCUCAGUAUCUGUUCAUGUAGCCAGUGAUAAUCCCUCCAUAUCAGGGAAAGGUAUUUUUGUACAGUGGCCUCAGGGAUAAAUCAUGUCCCUUCUACCCCAGCUAUUGUUGCCAUUAAAUUUGUUGGCUCAGCUUACUUAGCCUAUUUUUCACAAUUUACCUGAUUCAGAGAGCAGUUUGGAGAUGGCUCAUGUUUAAACGUCCUCUUUUUCCCCUCUGAAUUUCCUCCAGCUUCUCGGCUGAGCCAGAGUCAUUGAAUUUUAUGCCUUUGUCAAAAUAAGCUGUCAGCAACUGGGCCAGAUCUAUGAGAGGGCGCCAUCGUUUGCGCUGCCCCAGCUUUCACCUUGCAGUGCGUGGGCUGGAGGGGGCCCGGCAAACAGACAUAAAUCCGGAGCUCUAUAAUUCUCUCUCCCCCAAGAAGUGGCCAUAAAGCCCAUCACUCCAGAUAUAUGGGGAGAGAGAGACAAAGGACAGCCCGCGAUGAGUUUCAGAGGGGCCGUAAAACAGAAAGAGAGACCUCACUCACGGUGGCGGGCUCAUUAGAAGCCAGCCGGGCAGGGACAUGAUUGACAGUAGGGUGCUGACUGGCCGGCGGGCCUGAAUGUCACUCCCUGUCCCACCCCUGCCACCCUGAGGCGCUCCUCAGCCCCUGUGACUGAUGCUGAUGGCUCUUGGGGAAAUGGUACUGCCUUCGGAGUCUGAACAGGAGAACUUGGCCUGGAGGUGGUCGGUGUUUAAGAACAGACUGUGCGCCAGACAAGUAAGUGGUCUGAAUGCAGCCGCCCCAGCUCUGCCAGGACCCUCGAGUCCCGUGACCUGCAGGAGAGACUCGCUGUGCAUCACACACAGGCCGAGGGCCUGUCUUCUCAGCCUCCGCCCCAGCGUCCUUGCUUCACCCUCCCUCCUUCCCGUCUGUGAAGGCUGAUCACAGCUUUUCCUGUUAGCAGAGGCUUGGGUUUUUAUUUAAUGCAGACCGAAACAAGACAACGUGAUAUACUUUAAAAAGGGGGAGGGGAUAAAGAUGGUCAAGAUUUUUUUUUAAAUAUAUUUUUUAUUGAUUUCAGAGAGGAAGGGAGAGAGAGAGAGAGAGAAACAUCCAUGAUGAGAGAGAAUCAUUGAUCGGCUGCCUCCUGCAUGUCCCACACUGGGGAUCAAGCCCACAACCAGGGCAUGUGCCCUGACCAGGAAUCGAACCAUGACCUCCUAGUUCCUAGGUCGACACUCAACCACUGAGCCACACCAGCCGGGCAGGUCAAGAAUUUUAAAAAAUGCCCGGGGAAACUAAUUUCGAUAUGGAAAUUUAUACUGCCUGGGCUUAGGUACCGAUGAUGUUACAAUAAGACUGGGAACGUGGGAAAGCUGCUGCACUGCAAGGGUCGCUCUGAACAAUGAUGUUCCGGUUACUAUGGCUACAUAACAAAUUACCCCCAGAUGUCAGUGGCAUAAACCAUCCAUGUAUCAUGCUCAUAGAUUCUGUCGGUGGGGGGAGGGGAGGCGGGUGGACCUGGCACAGCAGGAAUGGCUUAUGUCUAUUCCUCAAUACCUAGCACCUCAACUGAAAGACUCCCAGGCGAGGGGUUGGGCUCAUUUGCCGGUUUCUUCACUCAGGUGACGGUUGAUCCUGUGCCGAGACCCUAGCUGGGGCGCCUCCACGUGGCCUGGGCUUCCCCACAGCAUGGCGGUUGUACUCCACGUGACCAAGCUUCAGACGUCCAGCGGUGUCACUUCCUCCCGUGUUCUUACGGAGGCAAUUACAGAGCCCUGCUCAGGUUCAAGGGGAUCAUCGAUCCCACCACCCGAAGGGGGAGUGUCCAUAUGUCAUUGGAAGAAAAGCCGGUGGGACAGGGUAUACGUGGGCGUGGGCGUGGGCGUGCUUGAGAGUUCUCCAGAGCUUGGCAUUCAAAGGAAUGGCUUUCAGGCCCUCAAGGAAGACACUCCCGAGUGUGGGCGAUCCAUACCCAUCUCCAAGGGAUGGAAGAAGAACUCACAACUGUAAGCUCCUUUUAUGAACAGCUCCAAGAAAGGGUCUCAGGGGCCUAUGUCGGGUGUUGGGUAGAACGAACAGUCCGUUCUUUUGGGAGCCUUGAACUUCCCCAGGCAGGGACUUGGAGGAGGGGCGGGGGGCUGUGGUUAGGACCAGCCUAACGUCCUGAGCUGUCAGAAACUACGCCAGGAUGUAAAUCUUUUACAUGUAGGGGGCAGGGAGCGGACAGAAUCAUUUGUGCUGAGAAUCUGUAGUUUCUAAUGGGCCCAGACUGAGA